AUAAAUUAUCAAUUGAUAUAUAUACAUAUUAAGUUUUAUAAUAAUGAAUAAUAAAUUUUACAAUAUCAUACAAUUAUAUUUCAAUUGGAUACAUCCAUCUUGUAUGUACUGGCCCACCCAGUCUAGCCUCAUGUGAAAGAUGAACUGAAAGAUGCACCAUGAUAUCAAAGAAGAUGGGAGGAAAUAUCAUCUCGAGCUUACAGAGAGUAAUGAUAAUCUUCUUCUCUAAUAUGUUGAUUUGACUUCACCUCAACAUCUUCGCA
rnacentral:lncRNA from 1 species